UACAGAGGAUGCAAGCGUUAUCCGGAAUGAUUGGCGUAAAGCGUCUGUAGGUGGCUUUUAAGUCCGCCGUCAAAUCCCAGGGCGUCAACUCUGGACAGGCGGUGGAAACUACCAAGCUGGAGUACGGUAGGGGCAGGAGGGAAUUUCCGGUGGAGCGGUGAAAUGCGUAGAUAUCGGAAGGAACGCCGGUGGCGAAAGCGACGUGCUGAACCCUUUCUGACGCUGAGGCGCGAAAGCCAGGGAGCAACGGG
rnacentral:rRNA from 1 species